UACGAAGGGGGCUAGCGUUGCUCGGAAUUACUGGGCGUAAAGGGCGCGUAGGCGGAUAUCUAAGUUGGGGGUGAAAUCCCGGGGCUCAACCUCGGAAUUGCCUUCAAAACUGGAUAUCUUGAGUUCGGGAGAGGUGAGUGGAACUCCGAGUGUAGAGGUGAAAUUCGUAGAUAUUCGGAAGAACACCAGUGGCGAAGGCGGCUCACUGGCCCGAUACUGACGCUGAGGUGCGAAAGCGUGGGGAGCAAACAGGG
rnacentral:rRNA from 1 species